rnacentral:rRNA from 1 species
CUUUACUAUAGCUUUGCAGUGGCAUUACGAUUGUCAUGUGUAGAAUAGGUGGGACGCUUUGAAGCCUUGGCGCUAGCCGGGGUGGAGCGGUCAGUGAAAUACCACCCUUGACUCUCGUGAUGUCUAACCGCAGACCCUUAUCGGGUUUCGGGACCCUGCAUGGUGGGUAGUUUGACUGGGGCGGUCGCCUCCCAAAUUGUAACGGAGGCGCGCGAUGGUGAGCUCAGGACGGUCAGAAAUCGUCCAUCGAGUGCAAAGGCAAAAGCUCGCCUGACUGUGACACUGACAGGUGGAACAGAGACGAAAGUCGGUCUUAGUGAUCCGGUGGUUUCCGCAUGGAAGGGCCAUCGCUCAACGGAUAAAAGGUA